AUUAAAGUAGGUCCAAGUCCUAAGUAGAUAGGUGUUUGAAGUUUGAAUUAGGAAAGAGGUGCUGAUUUUUGCUUCACUCAGAUUUUAACCUUUAAAGUUUAGAACUGUGGAAAAUAGCUUCAUUCACUAAUAAUAAUAGUUAAACUUAAGAGGUAGGUGGUAUUACUAUCUCCAUUUUACAGAGCAGAAUACGUACUUUGCCCAAAGUAACACAAAGAAUAAGUGAGGGAGGCAGGAUUAGAAUCGGGCUACCUAGGUCCUGUGUGCUUAAGUACUACACUCUACCUUUUUCAUUUAUUCAGUCAGUUCUUAUGAUGUGUCUCUUUUGUGCCAGGCCCUGGGCUAGGUCCUAGGUAAGUAACCAAAAAAAUGGGCCCCUGUGCUUUUGAAACUAAAUGGCCUAGGCUUUAGAACUUGUCCUGAGUUAAUAUAUAAUAAUUGCUUUUUCUUAAGUGCAAAAAAAGUUAUUCAUUGUCCUUUUGAGAUUAGUUUGGACAUACGAGGUACUGAAUUUGUGAGAUUAUUCUGUUUAGGAAUUUCUGGCUUGUUUAGAAGGUCUGUGGCAGGGAAGGUAGAGAGUGCCUUUUUGGAAUACGUUUAUUAUCUAUAGAUGAGUUACAGAUCUUAAAUUAGAACAACCACAGUUCCUGCCUGCAAGGGCUUUCAGGCUGGCUUGAGGUGGCAAGACUGGUAUAUGAAAACAAACUCAGAGGAAUUACAGACAGCAUUUAACCAAGGGUAAUGUAGUGCCAACUCUGUACAUUAUUGGUUCUUUUUUUGAGACACAGUCUCCUUCUGUCGCGUAGGCUGGAGUGCAGUGGUGUGAUCUUGGCUCACUGCAACCUCUGCCUUCCGGGCUCAAGUGAUUCUCAUGCCUCAGCCUCCCGAGUAGCUGGAA
rnacentral:lncRNA from 1 species